UCUCCGUUGGUGAACCAGCGGAGGGAUCAUUACCAGAGUGCCUUUAGGCUCUCCAACCCAUUGUGAACAUACCUACGUUUCCCUCGGCGGGUCAAGCGCGCUGGGCCUCCGGGUCCUGGGCGUCCGCCGGGGGCACUCAAACCCGAAUUUAUAGUGAAUUUCUGAGGGGCGAAAGCCCGUAAAAAAAUAAAUCAAAACUUUCAACAACGGAUCUCUUGGCUCUG
rnacentral:misc_RNA from 1 species